ensembl:lncRNA
GUGAGUUCCUUUCUCUUCUCAUAACUCUCAAUUCCACCCUCACAUUUAUGCCGUGCCCGGGCAUCUUUCCGCCACGCUGGAGCAAAGAUCAAAAGUAAAUAUUGGCAGAACAUUGGUUUUACUGUGACCCAGAUAAGGAACAGCCUAAAACGGAAAUAGCGAGAUUUUAUUGUUCCUCCCACAACUUCCCUCCUCACCGGGCUCCCUCAAUAUUUAAUUAUGAACUUCACUUCAUACAAAGUCUUGGUGUUAAUUUGGUUGCCAACAGGGCGGGGCCUGAACAACUCCAGGAGCUCCAGGCUAUAAAUAACCCCAUGAACAGCGCCCCCUGGAGUUGUGCCAUGGCUGCGUACACGUGUCGAUUCAUAUCAUCAUCUCAUUCUCAUUGACGGGGCAGAGGAAUCUUUUUUGCUUCAGCAAAUGUUUCCUGCUUUGUGAAAGAAACAUGAGCACACAGAAAAAUUCAGACAGGGCUCAUGAUAUGCUGUCCAGUCCUCUCUCUCAUGGUGCCCGGCAGGGCAGUGAGCCAUAGCUCCCAGUCGGCGCCACGGUCACUAGAGUGAAGAGCUGAUACACAGACAGCCGUCCUGGACCCAGACGUCCAUCCUGUUCUUCCCCGUCAGCACCGUAUCAAUAGAUCUGGUCACGUGAUGGAUCACAUGCCUGAGCCAGCUGCCAAGGACGCUGGGAAAGUGAGGGCCUGGUCACUGUUGUGAAGGCUCCCAUGGACUGCAGUGGGCACAACAAGCCAAGACACAGAUGUACGGCUCCUCUUGUAAAAUCUGAAGACGGUAAAAACAUCAAAAAUUCCCAGACACAUACAGGCGUUGAGGGUAGGGGGACGUAAGAGAACAGUGAAGGGAGGCUUGUUGCCUGCUUGGCUGGUCAAGGGGGAAAUUUCUCUGCCUCCCGGAAACUCUCCAUUACAACAACCAUCUUGAUGAGGGCAAAGGUGAUCCUCGGUUAGGAGCCAGGCUGCCUGGGGCCUAGUCCUGGUCUUGUCAUGUACUAGCUGUGUGCCCUUGAGAAAGUUUCUUCUCCUCUCUGUGCACCAGAGCGUCAGAGGUGCUGUUCUUAUCGUGCUCCAUGUGGUUGGUGCUGGGCAGCACAUGGCUGUCUCCGGUGACCCUGAGGUUCUUGUCUGGAAGAUCAGGGUCAAGUGAAUUAACUCAGAAACGUGCAGGAAGUGGUGGGUGUCAGCACCAGGUAGUGGCUCCCUAAGCAUCCACCGAGGGACGUGUUACUACCUCUGCUCCGGGCCACGUGCUUCACCUGCGACGAGCACUGCUGCACUGCAACCACCCCACUUUAAAGAAGAGAAAACUGAGGCUCAGAAGACAGUCUCAGAGAAGGGGAGGAGCUCUCUCAGGGUCACCCAGCUAGAGAGUGGCAGAGAACAAGAAGCAGCAGGAAUGGAAUCAGACUGGAAACAGCUAAUUCUGACUCAGCACCCCUUGUCUCAUGCUGGGCCCAUUGCUUUAAGCUCAUCAUCUCAGUGUGGCUCCAACACCUUUGCCCUCCCCCGCCUCCCCGGGCUCCAUGCCUUAAGAGGGUGUACUUUCCACUGCCCCUAACCUCCACUUCAGAGGAGAGAAGGGCCCCACUCCAGACAAGGCUGCCAGAGCUGAGUCUAGUUCUCAAGGUUCAGGGAUGGGUUCCCAGUGGGUGCUCUGGCCCCAUGACCAGAGUCUCACCUCUUCUCCCCCUUUAAUCCUCAGAUUUCAAAGCACUUUACAUGCAUACUCUAAUUAGAGAAGACACCUUCCUGUACUCCUAAUAAACUCUCUUGUGGGGCCCCAGGGCAUCAGGGCUGCAAACACCACUAAUUCUAGGCUAUACUCACAGGAUGUGGCCAGAACAGCCUUGACUCAGACUACGUGAUUCAAGGUACCCUCCCUCUUCUCUCGCUCUCUCCCCUCUACCUGCUGUUUUCGAUGUCGCACUGAUCAGUUGUUUUAAAUUGUGUGUUUGUUUAAUAGCAUAUUGACUCACUAUCAGCAGCUACAUUUAUAGAGCAGCCACUACAUGCUGGUCUUCAUUUUGCUCUUACAGUCAUCUCUCAGGACCCACAGGCUUCGCAGCUGGUGGUAAAGAACCCACCUGUCAAUGCAGGAGACGUAAGAGACACAGGUUUGAUCCCUGGGUCAGCAAGACCCCCUGGACGAGGGCAUGGCCACCCACUCCAGUCUUCUUUCCUGGAGAAUCCCAUGGACAGAGGAGCCUGGCGGGCUAUGGUCCAUGGUGCCGCAAAGAGUCAGACACGACUGAAGCCGAGGAGCACGCACAUGCACACACACUCGCUCAGUAUCCACAAGGCAUUGUUUCCAGGACCCCUACAGACAAGGAAAUCUACGGAUGCUCAAGUCCUCUAUGUAAAAUGUCAGAGCAUUUGCAUAUAGCCCACUUUAAAUCAUCUCUAGAUUACUUAAAAUACCUAAUACAAUGUAAAUGUUAUGUUAAUUGUUGCUGGCACAUGGCAAAGUCAAGUUUUGCUUUUUGAAACUUUCUGAAAUUGUUUUUUCCAGAUAGUUUCGAUCCUCAGCGGGUUGAAUCCACAGACGCGGAACCCUCCAUGUAAAGGACCGACUAUGUCAACCUCCUGGGGCACAGAGAGGUUAGAUCCCCUCGCCCCAUGAGUGGGCCUGUGCAGACAGAGACGGUGAGCGAUAUAAAGAUGCAGUGGGGCAGACAGAUGCCUUUUGGACGAGCAAGUCAAAGAAUCCUGCCCGUUACCUGGAACCCCGAGGCCUCCUGGUCCAUCGUGAGUGGAGGCCACGGAUGCAUCCAAGCAUCCUACAAUGCCCUGGGCACUAGGUAAGCAGUGGGCAUCAUUCCAUCAGACCAGGUUUCCUCAGCCAUGGCACUGCUGACAUUUGGGGAUGGAUACUCAGUUCUCUACAGUGGGGGCUGCCCUGAGCAUUGUAGGAUGUUUAGAUGCAUCCCUGGCCACUCAUGAUGGACCAGGAGCAGUUGCCCAUUCCCCGUCAUGACGAUCGAAAAGGAUACAAAAUUGCCCCUGUUUGAAAACCACUGCAUUAGACCCACACGUACUUACACGAGGGAUUAUUUUGUUCCUAGCCCUGUGUUCAGUGACUUAUGUAUCUCAAUGCAUUGAGUCACAACCGACUUAUCAGGCUGGGGCGGAUGUGGCAGCCCCAUACUGUCAUGCCCAGGCUGCUAACCUGUCCUCCCCUCCUUACGGUGUUGUCCUGGCCUCAUGUACAACAUGCCUCCACCCCACAUUCAUAUUGCAGCAGGGAAAUGGAGAGGUGGAACCUGGAAGUUGUCCCCAUGGCUUAACACCAUAUCCCAUUGGUCAAAACUUGGUUACAUGGACACAUCUAACUGCUAGGAAGGCUGGGAAUUGUAGUCUUUAUGGGGACAGCCCCAUCCUCAGCUACAAGUCCCCCAUGGAGCUGGGGAAGGAUCAGUUCAGUUCAGUUCAGUUGUUUAGUCGUGUCUGACUGUGAUCUCAUGGACUGCAGCAUGCCAGGCCUCCCUGUCCAUCACCAACUCCCACAGUUUACCCAAACUCAUGUCCAUUGAGUCAGUGAUGCCAUACAACCAUCUCAUCCUCUGUCGUCCCCUUCUCCCGC